UGAAAAUGUGCCUCCUGGAGACAGCUCUGGA
rnacentral:piRNA from 1 species